rnacentral:rRNA from 1 species
UAGUCUGCAACUCGACUACAUGAAGCUGGAAUCGCUAGUAAUCGCGAAUCAGAAUGUCGCGGUGAAUACGUUCCCGGGUCUUGUACACACCGCCCGUCACACCAUGGGAGUCGGAAAUGCCCGAAGUCAGUGACCUAACCGAAAGGAGGGAGCUGCCGAAGGUGGAGCCGGUAACUGGGGUGAAGUCGUAACAAGGUACC